rnacentral:rRNA from 1 species
GACGAACGCUGGCGGCAUGCCUAACACAUGCAAGUCGAACGAGACCUUCGGGUCUAGGGGCGCUCGGGGACGUACGAACUGGGGACCUGCACUUGGGUUCGCAAUACCUCCCCUAAAGGGGUGCUCAUACCGGAUAAUGUAUUCGGACCAAAGAUUUAUCGCCUUUGGGUGGGCGCGCGUUGGUUUCGCUAGUUGGUAGGGUAAAAGCCUACCAAGGCGACGAUCCAUAGCUGGUCGGAGAGGAUGCUCAGCCACACUGGGACUGCGACACGGCCCAGACUCCGACGGGGGGCAGCAGUGGGGUAUAUUAGACAAUGGGCGAAAGUCUGAUCCAGCAACGCCGCGUGAGUGAGGAAGGGCUUAGGGUUGUAAUGCUCUUUUUCACGGGAUGAUAAUGACAGUACCGGGUGAAUAAGCUCCGGCUAACUCCGUG